UACGUAGGGUGCGAGCGUUAAUCGGAAUUACUGGGCGUAAAGGGCGCGUAGGCGGCCUGCUAAGUCGAACGUGAAAUCCCCGGGCUCAACCCGGGAACUGCGUCCGAUACUGGCAGGCUUGAAUCCGGGAGAGGGAUGCGGAAUUCCAGGUGUAGCGGUGAAAUGCGUAGAUAUCUGGAGGAACACCGGUGGCGAAGGCGGCAUCCUGGACCGGCAUUGACGCUGAGGCGCGAAAGCCAGGGGAGCAAACGGG
rnacentral:rRNA from 1 species